UAUUCCCCACUGCUGCCUCCCGUAGGAGUUUGGGCCGUGUCUCAGUCCCAAUGUGGCCGGUCACCCUCUCAGGUCGGCUACUGAUCGUCGGUUUGGUGGGCCGUUACCCCGCCAACUGCCUAAUCAGACGCGGGGCCAUCCCAUUCCACCGGAGUUUUUCACACUGUACCAUGCGGUACCGUGCGCUUAUGCGGUAUUAACAGUCGUUUCCAACUGGUAUCCCCCGGAAUGGGGCAGGUUCCCCACGCGUUACUCACCCGUCCGCCACUCGGUUAAAACUGUAUCCAUCCGAAAACUUCAACUGUAAUAACCUCGUUCGACUUGCAUGUGUUAAGCACGCCGCCAGCGUUCAUCCUGAGCCAA
rnacentral:rRNA from 1 species